rnacentral:lncRNA from 1 species
CUAGUCGAGGAGGAAAUAACAUUCAACUGACAAUGAGUAAAGACCCAUUGCAAAAAUCGACGAGUCGACGUAUAAAGCGAAAAGCUCCGGUGAUCGAGCAUUUCGAGCAAGCGCUAGCUCAGUUGUGAGCGGAGAGACGGUCGGGCGCCUUCAAUUAUUCAAGUAUGCAACACACACAACCGGAGAGCUGGAAUAGUUGUAUCCAGUCGCCGUCCAGAGAAGCAUGAUUCUGCCCAUUAAGAAUGAACUGAAACCACGUGACAUCAUUCGUUGGUUCUUGAUGUGGACGAAAAGAGAUUGGUCACAGGAGGAACUCAAUUUUCCAACGAUCUGUCUAAAAUUCUUCUAUACGGGUGACCACGUGAACCAACUAUUCAAUGACGUCGUUUCUCAGUCCAGUCUUAUCGCAACCAUUCUUUCGGUUGAAUUAUCAGUUUUUGGGGCUCAUUAAUUUAUCUGAUAUGAUAGCGCCACUGUCAAUUAUUGUUCUUUCAAAUAGAAAGGAACUCCCAAAGAUUUCCUCAAUAUUCUAAAGUCGUCAAAAAAAUUCAGAUCGUCAAUCAUUUUUGUUUGGUAUACUUUGAGCCAAGACGAUUCAAGCUUGAGGGUUCUACCUGGCAUAAAAUACUUUUUUUUUCUUUUCUCACAAUUAAGAAGUAACAAAAGUAAAAAAAAACUCAGACACCCAUACCAAAAUGGUUAUGAAUCUGUGACUAGGUACUUGAAAAUUUUGAAAUACGCAAUAAUUUUCCGGGAAAUCACUAAGAACUGCAGACAACAACAACUGCUGUCAACCAACAACAGUAAGCCGUCGACAGCAGAAAGGUAGUGAGCCACAAAAACCGAUAGUCCAUCUUCAAGAAGAACUUCCAAAGAUCAGCCCGCUUGCAGCCUGAUUUACUAGACUUAUCGAAAACGGAGAACCUAUUCUACCACCGUAUUAAGGAAAAACGCCACAUAAACUUACGGAUGAUGCAAAAUUUCUAAUAAAAUUUGAAUUUCUGAGAUUUGUGAAAGAUUUCCCUUGAAAUUUUCAGAUAAUUUUAUUCUGAAUUUUGUCUAGUUAAUCAAAAAAUGUCAAAGAGAAACAGCUAUAUAUCUUCUCAAACAUAAUCAUCCUAUCCGGGGCAUUUUGGCAACGUUCGAUUGCUCAUACGGGUUUUUCCUUCGCACGGCAGUACAGACGAGCAAUCAACUUUGUCACGCGUUUAACCUCAAAAACAGCGUAAUCACAACAUCUACCGCGGAGAUCAUCAUCAAGAUUACGGCCGUUUUUUACACGUCCCCAAAUUGAACGCCUGACGAAAUUGGCAUAAUUCACCAAUAGGAUCGCUCGAUUUUCGAUAAGGUCAAUAAUCGAGGCACAGGAUCGAUAGGAGACAAGGUGGUACCGGCGGAGUCACAGAAGCACGAUUCCCGAACUCAAAACAACAACGUGACGAGACCACGAUGACCCGAGGGGCGGAGAACUUGGGGGUAGCGCCCGCGGUGGACACAAAGGGCAUGCGACUGGAGCGGAUGUGCUGAAACUGAAAGAGUGGCUCGUGGGACCAGGCUGAAAGAGGCUGAAAUCGAGAGCCGAGACCCGGGAGGUAGCCAAGUACCCAGGUUGGCUGAAGACGGGUCGCACAAGGGGCACAACUUCCAAGUUUCGCGCUUCGAGAUCAAAC